GAUGAACGUUGACAGAAUGCUUAACACAUGCAAGUCAACUGUGGCUGACGGGUGAGUAACGCGUAAAGAACUUGCCUCACAGCUAGGGACAACAUUUGGAAACGAAUGCUAACACCUGAUACUGUGGGAGCGCUUUGCGUCCCAUUAGCUAGUUGGAGAGGUAACGGCUCACCAAGGCGAUGAUGGGUAGCCGGCAUGCGAGGGUGAUCGGCCACAAGGGGACUGAGACCCGGCCCUUGUGCCAGCGGGAGGCAGCAGGGGAGAAUAGUGGAAAAUGGGCCAAAGUCUGAUGAAGCAAUUCGGUGUGCACUAUGAAGUUUUCGGAAUGAAAAGUGCUUUCAGUUGGGAAGCGGUACCAACAGAAGAAGUGCCGGCUAAAUCCGUGCCAGCAGCCGCGGUAAUAC
rnacentral:rRNA from 1 species